GAUGAACGCUGGCGGCGUGCCUAAUACAUGCAAGUCGAGCGAACAGAUAAGGAGCUUGCUCCUUUGACGUUAGCGGCGGACGGGUGAGUAACACGUGGGUAACCUACCUAUAAGACUGGAAUAACUCCGGGGAACCGGGGCUAAUGCCGGAUAACAUUUAGAACCGCAUGGUUCUAAAGUGAAAGAUGGUUUUGCUAUCACUUAUAGAUGGACCCGCGCCGUAUUAGCUAGUUGGUAAGGUAACGGCUUACCAAGGCAACGAUACGUAGCCGACCUGAGAGGGUGAUCGGCCACACUGGAACUGAGACACGGUCCAGACUCCUACGGGAGGCAGCAGUAGGGAAUCUUCCGCAAUGGGCGAAAGACUGACGGAGCAACGCCGCGUGAGUGAUGAAGGUCUUCGGAUCGUAAAACUCUGUUAUUAGGGAAGAACAAAUGUGUAAGUAACUGUGCACGUCUUGACGGUACCUAAUCAGAAAGCCACGGCUAACUACGUG
rnacentral:rRNA from 1 species